rnacentral:snRNA from 1 species
AGGUGUGAGGACAAUCUGGCUGUGAUAUCUGUCUCCCCAUUAAUUGCCAGGGUUGAAUUGGCUGAUCUGGCUGGCCAGGCAGGUGUCCCCACCCUCCCUCACCACUCUAUGUGUGUCCUUCCGAAAGCUGUGUGCUCAGGAUGGCCUUCCAUGAACAGAGACUGACCCAUCUUCAGUGGAGGGUAAACAAGUAGCUAACUGCGCUCUCCUGCUAAAACCUCCAAACAAUUGGGUCUGUAUCCUCAAAGAUGCCCUUGAGAUUUAGAUGGCAAAGUGGUCCACCACCAUUUUCCUCUAACUCUUUGAUAGUU